rnacentral:misc_RNA from 1 species
UUAGGGUGGGGGCCUCCCUUUAUUCCUUUAUGUUGUCGCAUGUGUUAGGCAAAAUACAUGUACAGUAGAACCCAUGCAAAUCUACUUCUCAACUAAAACACAGCAGAACCCCCAGAGAGUUGCCACUGCCUAGUGUCAAACUUGCAGCAAAGAAAUAAGCUGAACUUUGCACAACACUAGUUAAUCAUCAAUGAAAUGAACACUUAAUAAUAAUAAUAAUAACAACAAUAAUCAUAGUCUUCGUGCUAUGCUCGAGAAUAACAAA